GUUGUGAAUGCAAAACACACUGAAGAGACUGCAGCCGGCGCGCACCUCCUUGUACAGCUUACGGUGACAUCAUCACAAGCAUGUGUGACAUCACAGGGUUCUAAACCAUCUUCAGACAAACAGUAAGAGCCAUACCAGUAGGUGAACUUAUACGAAUUAAGCGGAACAGUUCUUCCGCCGAGAUGUACCGCAGGGAAGCUGAUGCAGCAUGCACACGCCUGGCGGCUCGAGGUGACCCUGGAUGGCUCUUGAAAAAAGCUCGGUCGAGAGUGGAUCCUAUGGAUCGAAAAUCCCUUUUAACAAAUCCCACGGUAGGGGAGAUUAUAAAGUCAGGUGUGAGAUUUGCAGCGAGGCGGGCACCUACUCUAUCCAAUCUCCUUGUUCCCAGUAUGGUGGACACGGCUAGUGUUACCACCCAGUGGAUUAGCACCAAGGGCUUCCACAAGUGCGGUAAAUCGCGGUGUGUGGUAUGUCCCUUUGCCGAAAAAUGCCAGAAAAUAGAAGGUACGGUGGAUGGCAAAUGCCAUGUCAUUCACAACUUUAUAAACUGUGAUAGCACUUUUGUUGUAUAUAAAAUCAUGUGCACACAAUGUCACUUAACAUAUGUGGGUUCCACCAAAAGGUCCCUUAAAAAACGCAUGCAAGAGCACAUUAGACAUGCUGCUGGCCCUUUAAGCUCGAACAUUUCUAACAUAUCUAAACAUUUUCUAAUAUGUCAUAAUUCAGACACCACUUCCCUCAGGUUCUCAGGCAUUGAGAAGGUGAAGCUAAAUAAAAGGGGAGGUGACCAUAUUCGAUCCCUCCACAAUAGGGAAAUCAUGUGGAUUUAUCUUUUGAAUUGCAUUCAACCCCAUGGUCUAAAUAGCAAAACAGAUUUAAUAUUACAUUACUGAUAUGUCUCCGAAUAAUUUAUCUGUGUUUGGUCCCAUGUUUUUGUUUUAAUCACGCGCACAUGUGAUGUGGACCUGUCCCUUCCCUUCCUGUGGGAAUGGGGAAAAUGCCCUGCAGUAUAUAAGGGUGCCUCAUUUGAGGAUCUACAGGCUAUGAGUAAGGAUUGAUAGAUCAGAAACGCGUCAGCCAUGCUUGGGACCCCCCUCUGUUUGUGCAAUAUUUCAUAUUUUUGAUAUGUUCACGGUUUGUCUGCCACCAUGAAGGCUUUUAAGGAAGAACCCUGAAUAAAGACGGACGUUUUACUUCUACUUGCUGGCUUUUUUAGUAUUUUAUUUUAGUUUUAUCCACUGUGCCAGGGAUGAAAAUUAUUCCAAAAGAAACUAACUCAACUGUCUAUGCUCCCCCGUUGCUCCAAUAUUGGUGUCCCGUUCUCUGUUCGCCGCCUUCUGCUUUUCCUGCAGGUCAGUGAAUCACGGUGCGCUCAGUGUCAUCAUUG